AUUAUAAAAGGAACUUAUAUAUACUUUAUUUACAUGAAACCAAAACAACAGUAAUAAAACUAAAUAUACACCUACUAAAGGAUUGAUCAACCCUACCGAACUGAACUUAACAAAUAAAGCAGCUAUUUGGCAGGACUACAGCCGUAAGCUACUACACAGAAAUAAUGGCAGCUGUACAGCAGCAAUAACACAACAGCUAUAGGGCAACAGUAAUAACUGCGGCAGACAGUUAGGCAGUAAUAACUGCGGCAGACAGUUAGGCAGGAAU